rnacentral:lncRNA from 1 species
UGGAAAAUUUUUGUUGUCGACUGACAAGCAAAUGUCAGGCCUCUGUAAUCUUUGUAUGUUAACUAUUUUUGUUGUUUAAAGCUUUGAACUUGUAGUCUGGUAUGUCCUCUUUAAUCUAGAUCAAGAAUCAUGCAUAAAUCCGUAUUAUAUUGCAAGUUAUUAACGGUCAAAUACCGUUGACCGGCAUUGACUGGAACUUUCUGGGCAGUCAAGAACUUGCCCAGAUUCGUCUGACAGGAAGUUCAAUGGCUCAGAUCCUGC